rnacentral:misc_RNA from 1 species
GGAAGACGGCGGCGUAGGAGUGGAGAGAGAGUUGAGGAAUUGGGUGGACCGGAGGUUGAGUGACUCGUUCCCGGUCGAGGUGGCACAGAAGGUAAUCCGGUUGGCAUUGGAUUGUUUACACGUGGAACCAGAUGACAGGCCCGAUAUGCGCCGCGUGGCGGGUAAGAUAUCAAAGCUGUAUUUAGAGUCCAAAUUUUGGUCGGAUCGGGUCAAAAUGCCCACGGAAAUAACCGUGUCAUUAGCACCUCGAUGAGACGAUAAUUUUUUUUGAUUAUUUCGUGAAAAUGUACUUUUC